rnacentral:rRNA from 1 species
GACGAACGUUGGCGGCGUGCUUAAUACAUGCAAGUCAACUGAAGCAGUGGUAGCAAUAUCGCUGUGGAGGUGGCGCACGGGUGAGUAACACGUAGGUAAUCUGCCUUCAGGUCUGGCAUAACUCCGGGAAACCGGGGCUAAUAGCAGAUGAUGCAGCGGCUCGACAUCGAGACAGUUGUUAAAGCUAUGGCGCCUGAAGAUGAGCCUGCGUCUGAUUAGCUAGUUGGCGGGGUAACGGCCCACCAAGGCAACGAUCAGUAGCUGGUCUGAGAGGAUGAUCAGCCACACUGGAACUGAGACACGGUCCAGACUCCUACGGGAGGCAGCAGUAAGGAAUAUUGCUCAAUGAGAGAAAUCCUGAAGCAGCAACGCCGCGUGAGGGACGAAGGGCUUUCGCUUGUAAACCUCUGUAGUGAGAGAAAAAAAUCCCAAGCUUUGGGACAUGAUGGUAUCUCAAAAGUAAGCCCCGGCUAACUACGU